GCGCGCGCGCUGUAUCUAAAAUAAAAGAAAAACUUUCCAAACUAAACAUGAAACUUCUCCGGUAACAUAAUAAUAUAGACCCUUUACAAAAACAAACAAACAAACAAAUACCCCCCCCCCUUUUUUCCAAAUCAAUCAAUAAAAAAAAUCAAUUAUCCAUUCAUCAGAGGGGAAAGACUGCCUAACAAUUGUUUUCAAAACAAUUGCUUUAUAUUUAUUAUUAUUAUUUUUUUUUUUUUUCCGCCAACUUUUGUUCUUGCGAUAAAUGUUUGUUUCGCAAUAUGUCGCUUAGAUAUUUCUCAUAUUGUAUCGUAUAGUUUAUGCGCUUUUAAAUUUCACCCUGCUAAGCCGAACCAUUUUCUUUGUAAGAGUUAUCUCCCUAUUUCACUGUUUAUCAUCAAAGUGUGCAUCUCCUUCGUAACAAAAAAAGAUAGCGACAAAAUUCUUUUUACAAAUUGUUCGUUACAUCCUCAGUAAUUUUUGGCGUAUUUGGAUCGAAGCGAUUCGAUGAAAUUUUAUAGGAGUUAUCUACCUUUACAAAAUAAAUUUGUCGGUAUGUUUAUUUAACUCAUAAACAGUUAACCGUAUAACCCUGGAAUGUUUUUAUUUGAGUCCCCUAGGUCCUAACUUAGAAAAUGAGGUCAAGGUCAAAGGUCAAGGUCAAGUUCUCAAUUGUGACUUUUGCUUGUUUUUGCAUUUUCUCACUCACUUUGAGAGAUACAUAUAAAAGAACAAGUGCAAAAUGUCUGCUUAAUUGUAAUGAAGAUAUGCUACAUUUAGUCUUAUACAAUUAAAUGGCAUCUUAUAGGAGUUGUCGCCCCUGAAAUGUCUUGAUAUGAGGUUAUUUGAUUAUAACUUCAAGUAAGUUCAUUAUAAAGACAUUUGACCUUAUACAAAAGGUUAAGUGACAAAUGACCUUGAAAAAUGGCUACCGGAAGUGACCUUGAGAAAACCGGAAGUAGCUUUUUUUGCAAUUUUUUCACAUAAAAGUACUCAGAAUCCAUAUAUUUUUUCAUAUAGAUACAUGAACAAAUUACUGAAGACUAAAAAUGACUUCCAACAAACCGGAAGUGGCCAAUUAUCUCCCAUUCUACAUACAAAAGUAUAUAGAAACUAUAUAUUUUUGGAAUCAGUGUGAAAGAAGCUAUCAUAUGAGACCAGAUGUGACAUUCAUUUCACCGGAAGUAGCAUAUUAUCUCCCUUAUAUCACUCAAAAAGAAAAUUAAACCAUUAUUUAUCGCAUCAGUAUGAAGAAACUACCUUCUUAUCCAAAUUUCUGUGGUGUGGAAAGACUUUCAAUUGUUCUCUGAACAAUUGGUUUUUAAUUAUUAUUAUUUUUCUUCCACCUAAUUUUGUCCGCCCGCUUUCUCAAAGCCAAAGGAACCAAUCUGAAUGAUGGUGCACUAUAACAAGGAACCCUGACUUUCCAGUUGCAGUGCAAUUUUGGAACUAAAAAAUGGCUGCCAUCAC
rnacentral:lncRNA from 1 species